GAUGAAGAACGUAGCGAAAUGCGAUAAGUAGUGUGAAUUGCAGAAUUCAGUGAAUCAUCGAAUCUUUGAACGCACAUUGCGCCCCUUGGUAUUCCAUGGGGCAUGCCUGUUCGAGCGUCAUUUGUACCUUCAAGCUUUGCUUGGUGUUGGGUGUUUGUCUCGCCUUUGCGUGUAGACUCGCCUUAAAAUAAUUGGCAGCCGGCGUAUUGAUUUCGGAGCGCAGUACAUCUCGCGCUUUGCACUCAUAACGACAGCGUCCAAAAGUACAUUUUACACUCUUGACCUCGGAUCAGGUAGGGAUACCCGCUGAACUUAAGCAUUCAAUAAGCGGAGGA
rnacentral:misc_RNA from 1 species